rnacentral:rRNA from 1 species
UACGUAGGGGGGCGAGCGUUGUCCGGAUUUAUUGGGCGUAAAGAGCUCGUAGGCGGUUUGGUAAGUCGGGUGUGAAAUCUCCACGCUCAACGUGGAGGGGCCACUCGAUACUGCCAUGACUCGAGUCCGGUAGAGGAGUGUGGAAUUCCCGGUGUAGCGGUGAAAUGCGUAGAUAUCGAGAGGAACACCUGCGGCGAAGGCGGGUUGCUGGGCUGACACUGACGCUGAUGCGCGAAAGCCAGGGGAGCGAACGGG